AUUGAACGCUAGCGGGAUGCCUUACACAUGCAAGUCGAACGGCAGCACGGACUUCGGUCUGGUGGCGAGUGGCGAACGGGUGAGUAAAGUAUCGGAACGUGCCCAGUAGCGGGGGAUAACUACGCGAAAGCGUAGCUAAUACCGCAUACGCCCUAAGGGGGAAAGCGGGGGAUCGCAAGACCUCGCACUAUUGGAGCGGCCGAUACCGGAUUAGGUAGUUGGUGGGGUAAAGGCCUACCAAGGCGACGAUCCGUAGCGGGUUUGAGAGGACGGCCGGCCACACUGGGAGUGAGACACGGCCCAGACGCCUACGGGAGUCAGCAGUGGGGAAUUUUGGAAAAUGGGGGCAACCCUGAUCCAGCCAUUUCGCGUGUGCGAUGAAGGCCUUCGGGUUGUAAAGCACUUUUGGCAGGGAAGAAAAGGAUUGGGCUAAUACCCUGAUUCGCUGACGGUACCUGCAGAAUAAGCACCGGCUAACUACGUGCCAGCAGCCGCCGUAA
rnacentral:rRNA from 1 species